UCAAACUGACGCUCUGACAUGGCCUUCAAAAUACUGGGAGUCACUGAUGGAGAGAGAAAGUAAAAACAAUUUGCUGCAGUGGAAUAAGUGGUACUACGUCAGUGACACGUAGACUUACUGUGAAAUAAUGAUAGUUACCUUACUGGCAUCAGUGCAAUAACUAAAAAAGUAAUUCCAGUGGAAAUAACAAUAACUGCACUCUUCAAAAGAAUGCAACUGGUCAUCUAGAACAUCUGGAAGCGAACACAAGACAAAGAAGAUAGAUUUACAUCUGACUUACCCAGCAGAGCAGUGUUGUCCAUAAGCAUCCUUCCUUUGUCUGCAUGUUCCUCGCUGAAGAAAUCACCCAUGAGUAGCAACUUGAUGGCUUCCUGCUUCACACUGUCAAAGAAAUUUGACUGAAUGGGCACGACUGCCUGUAAACACUCUACUUAGAUUGUGACCAUUGAGAGUCCACAUUGACUUGUAGGACUCCACAAAGCGGUCAACUGUAGACUUUGAGUUCAACCCUAGGCUUUCUAACUGAGUGUGCAGAACCUGGAGUGAAGACAGAAAGAGAGGAUUAGCUACAAGUGCUGUCUUUCCUGAGAGAUCCGAAGUGAAAUUGACCUGGGGAACUACUCGGUGUCAUGUGACGGGACUGCAACAUGAGAAGUAAGUAACCCCAUCCUCGCCUCUUUCUUUUCCUCACUGAGCAGGCCAGUCAUAAAAAUCAAAUGACUCAAUGACCUCUAAUCCUCGAAUCAUCUGUGAAAAUAAAGUCAGACAGAGCAGACCUGAUUCUCAGCUGGUGUAAACUAGGGUAGCUCCAUUGACACUGGCGGAGCUACGCUGACUCACACCAGCUCAGAAUCUGGCCUACAAUCUGUAAGAAAUUCUGGAGUCGGAUCUUGACUCAUAUAUGAUUUUAAGAACAGUCACCUGCUGACAAAUGGGAUGAGUCAGUUAACAGCAUAACUUGAAAUGAAAUGUUAAAGCUACAUUAUGUCAUACACAGACAAAGCUCUUAUAGAAGGAGAUCAUAUACAUCCAGUAUCACAUAUAUAGUACAAUUCUGUGGAUAGUGGUGGAUAAUCAGCUGUGCAUGAGUUCCUGGUGCAAUGCUGGGAAAAAGGGCUAGUGUGAUCCUUGGAUGCAUCAACAGGAGAAUCUCGAAUAGGAGUAGAGAGGUCAUUUUACCUCCAUAUUUGGCACUGGUGCAUCCAGUGCUGGAAUACUGUGUUCAGUUCUGGUGACCACAAUUCAAGAAGGAUUUUGAUAAAUUGGAGAGGGUGCAAAGAAGAGCCACAAGAAUGAUUAAAGGAUUAGAUAGCAUGCCUUAGAAUGACAGACUAAAUAAGCUCAAUCUAUUUAGCUUAGCAAAGGGAAAGUUAAAGGGUGACUUGAUUACAAUGUAUACAUAUCUACGUGGGGAAAAAAUAUUUGAAAAUGGGCUCUUCAGAGAAAGAUAUAUCACAAUCCAGUGGCUGGAAGCUGAAGAUGGACAAAUUCAGACUGGCAAUAAGGCACAAUUUUUAAAUAGUGAGAGAAAUUAACCACUGGAACAACUGAUCAAGGGUUGUGGAGGUUUCUCUAGCACUAGCAGUUUUUAAAUCAAGAUUGGACGUUAUUCUAGAAGAUCUGCUCUAAGAAUUAUUUUGGGGAAGAUUUAUGGCCUGCGGUAUACAGGAGGUCAGACUAGAUCAUCACAAGGGGCUUUCUAGCUUUGGAAUCUAUGAACAUAUGAACAGUCAGACUAAUCUACUCUUAGGAGGCUAGUAUUCGUCCAACUGGAUUAGGAUCAGGAUCAUGCCAUGCCAUUCAAAAGGGCACUUCCUCCUAGAUUACUGCACCUACGUUAACUCCUCCUAGACCAGUGGUUCUCAAACUUUUUUUUUCACGGACCACUUGAAAAUUGCUGAGGGUCUCAGGGACCACUUAAUGAUUUUUCCAA